CAGAACAUCAUCGUAAUGUAAAAGUGAAGGAAUAAUCUGUUGGGUCCAGUUCCAGCUGCAGAGACCAAGUUCUAACCGGGACAGAAGAGGAAAUCAAAAAACAAAACGG